rnacentral:rRNA from 1 species
ACGCACGCUGGCGGCGUGCUUAACCCCUGCAAGUCGAACGGAAAGGCCCUGCUUGCAGGGUACUCGAGUGGCGAACGGGUGAGUAACACGUGGGUGAUCUGCCCUGCACUUCGGGAUAAGCCUGGGAAACUGGGUCUAAUACCGGAUAGGAGCCAUUUUUAGUGUGAUGGUUGGAAAGUUUUUUCGGUGUAGGAUGAGCUCGCGGCCUAUCAGCUUGUUGGUGGGGUAAUGGCCUACCAAGGCGGCGACGGGUAGCCGGCCUGAGAGGGUGGACGGCCACAUUGGGACUGAGAUACGGCCCAGACUCCUACGGGGGGCAGCAGUGGGGAAUAUUGCACAAUGGGCGCAAGCCUGAUGCAGCGACGCCGCGUGGGGGAUGACGGCCUUCGGGUUGUAAACUCCUUUCGCUAGGGACGAAGCUUUUUGUGACGGUACCUAGAUAAGAAGCACCGGCUAACUACGUG